ACAAUAAGAGUGGACGGCAAUGAUGUGUUUGCUGUACACAAUGUCACGAAGGAGGCUCGGGAAAUCUGUGUCUCACACAACCGACCGGUGCUGAUAGAGGCCAUGACCUACAGGAUAGGCCAUCACUCAACAUCUGAUGAUAGCUCCAUGUACCGCAAAAAGGGAGAGGUGGUGAAGUUUGAUACAAAUAAUCCCAUUGGAAGACUGCGGAGCUACAUGGUUAAACAAGGCUGGUGGAAUGACGACCAGGAAAACGAGUGGAAAGAAGAAUCUAAGAAAAUGGUGAUGGAGUCAUUCGCUAAAGCUGAGAAGAGAAAGAAGCCAAACCCUACAGAGCUAUUUAAAGACGUGUAUGAGGAAAUUCCUCCUCACCUACAGAAGCAGAUGGAUUCCCUUAAAGAACAUCUGUCCAAGAACGAGGACAAAUACCCGACACAGAAUUACGAGGCCUGGUCUGAACAUUGAACUCUGUUACUUCUCACUUCAGGAAUCUCAUGUUGUCAUAAUACUGCUUGUGUGUGAAUAUACCAGGUCUUUCCACAGUAAGGAAUACAUGUAUCAGGACCUGUCAGGCUCCAUGGUAGGGGUCACUAGGAGUCAUAGCUAGGGGAGGAUGCCUACAGCAUUGUAGGAGGGUGGAUUAUACAUGUACCGGCCGGUAGGAACACAAUCAUUAUAGGAGGCUUGAUUAUAGGAACUCAAUUACAAUUCCAGUAUUGUGAUACGAAAACAUUCAGUAUCAACCAAAGUAAGACAUGUUAGUGGCACUUGGCUGGUCUGGGUGGGAUUUUCUUUUUUUAUGUGUGUGUGUAAGAAAAAACAAAGUAAUUGUCUACAGUGGCACCAAAAAUGAAAUUACUUUAUGACUUGAUUGUACAAAUACAAGUUUAUUGAUAUGAAGAUACAUGUACCAUGUUGCCAUCAUCACAACUCUUUCUCAUAAUGAAGUUUAUAAUUUGAAUAUGGAGUAUUUAACUAUUACAUGUACUUAUCUUUGUGAUGCCUCAUGCAGUUAUUUCAUUUUGAAGGAUUUUUUUAAUACCUUGAAGUGUUGAAUUUCUGAUUGUUUUAUAAAAUUUAAUGUACCGUACUUAUAGUUAUGACUAAACAAAUAUCUGAAUAAUUAAGUGAGGCAUUUUUUGCAGAUUCAUAAUACCAGUAGUCUCCGGUUUUUGUCUGAAGAAACUUCUACCUCUAUUUAUUGAAUGUAUGCAGUAUAUGUUACAAAUUCUUCACUGUUGGGUAAAAUGCGUAGUUAUAUCUGUGAAGAAUGUAUUACUCAGUACAUGUAGUAAAACAGACAUCUGAUCUCAUUUACAUUAAUUCAUUGGGAAUGAUGAUAUAAGUACAUGUAGUUAUACAAUGAGCAGAAUAAUUUUUCUGAAAUUUAUUCUUCAUUCAGUACAUAAUCAAUCUUUUUUUAAAAGGUGUGAACAUUUUGGGAACAACAUUUUCUUUGUGAAAAAUAUAUAUUACUCACAUCAUUUCUGUAAAAAAUUUAUGCCCUUGUAAACAUACGUGGUGCAAAAGGUUUCACUUAAUAUGCACUUAAUGUUUCUGUGACUCGAUCUAUACAUGUAUGUAUUAUCAUGGCAUCCUAUUACGUAAUUAUUCUUCGGUGUGUUUUUUCCGCAGGCUUAAUUUUUUUCCCCAAAAUAAAUGAAGCGCAAUUCAAUCAUGGAUUUUGUGAGUUAAUGACAACAUGUAUAUGUCUUUAGUUUGAACACUAUUUUAUUUUUAGCUUUCUAAACUUGAACCAUGUAUUGAUGAUAAUAUAUUGUUAGUAUUCAUACAUUAAUGGUACACAUUAUGUAAAACCCUAUUUCCAGCUUUGGUACCAGUUACUAUCAUUAUUAUUGAAACAAGUACAUGAACAUGUAUAGCAUCUUUCCUUUUGUUGAGUGCCAAAUAAAAUCUUGAAAAGUAUUAUAAUAAAGAAGUAUGGUA
rnacentral:misc_RNA from 1 species